rnacentral:rRNA from 1 species
ACCACUAUACCGCCUCCCUCUUCCUCCUCUCCCCCGUGCCAUUCCCCCACCUCCUCCUCCCCCGACGCCGAAGCCAGCCGCCGAUCCCGCUCGAAAUUGAGAGGCAGAGCCGCCGGAGAUCCGCGGGAGCCGUGGAGGGAGCCGAGCCGCGACGUCGGGCGCCAUGAACGCGAGGGGAAGGAAGAGCCCUUCACCUUCCUCUCCCAGGAGGCGCAGGAGUCCAUCCCCAUCAAAAAUCCAUUACAAAAGAAAGAGAAGGCCGAGUGUCACUGGUUCUCCAGUUGCCAAAUCGAGUCCCCAUCUUGGAUCUACAGAGAAUAAGAAUGCCGUUGAUAAGCAAAGGCUAGAAGAAGAAAAGAAAAGGCGUCAAAAAGAAGUUGAACUAAGGCUAUUAGAGGAGGAAACUACAAAAAGAGUUGAGCAAGCUAUUAGGAAACAAGUUGAGGAUAGUUUGAAUUCUGAGGAGAUCAAACAUGAAAUACAGCGUCGAAUUGAUGAAGGGCGAAAAAGGAUACACGAGGAGGUAGUUGCCCAAAUUGAGAAAGAGAAGGUGUCCGCCUUGGUCGAAGCCCAACAGAGAGCGGAACGUGAGAAGAAAGAGCGAGAAGAGCUAGAGAAGAAGCUCGAAGAGGAGCGAAAGAAAGCAGAGGAGGCUCAGAUGAAGGUAGCGAUGGAGCAGCAGCAGAAAGAGCUGGAGCGGUACCAGGAGCUGGAGAGGCUUCAGAAGGAGAGGGAGGAAGCCAUGAAGCAGAAGCAAAUGGAGGAGCAGCAGCAGAAGCAGAACCAGAUUAAGCUGCUGGGCAAGAACAAGUCGCGACCAAAGCUGUCGUUCUCUUUUGGGAUGAAGUAGAUCAGUCUAUUGCCAGGGGAGGGGAAAUUAGCGCCGUAGUUUGCAUUUGUAACCAUUUGUCUGAAACCGAUGAUUGCUGGUAAGUCGGUCGCGCGAACGAUCGUGUUGUGUUAAAAGCUGUUUUUAUCAUCUGCUGUUGUAAGCUCGAUGCUAUUUUCUGACUGCCCUGUUUUCGCGCUGUGUUAUCUUGCCGCUCCGACUCAAGAUGUUGAUUGGUUGUAGGUGAAAACAUCCUGUCAAAAUGAUGAAAAUGCUUGUAGAGCAGAGGAGGCUGGCUAAUGAGCAUGAACUAGGGCUGUAGUAGUGUGUGGAAACCCAACAAGAAUGUACGUACUCGAAGGGCCAUUCUAGGUUCACCUUGUUUAUCACCUCCUUGUGAUGAAUCAUAGCCAAGAAAUGAAGCGUGUACAAAGAAGAUUUAUUUGACUCCCAUGACAAGGAGGCAUGCCAAAC